UUUACGGUUGUCCUUAGAGAAGCUGUAGCAGCUCAUUGACUGGUGGCUUUCUGUGAAGAUCUUGGGAGUAGAAUAACUUUGUGGGAGCUGGGAGUUGGUGGGCUGUCAUUAAAAUAUUGCCAUGCUGUACUUCUGUGAAUUCUUAUACAAUGCACAGCUGAAGAAGUGACAAUGACCUACCUCACAGGAUAUAAGUGUCACGUCAGUGGAAGUAAAAAGUAAACAUGAAAGGAGGAGUUAAUGGAUAUCUUUUCAACUGAGGAGAGAAUAUGCAGAUAGGUCCCACAGCUUCAGGAGAUGUAAAUCCCAAUGUAAUAUCAUGUCAGGAUAUAUAUUCAUGGAAUGUUGUUUUGAGAGUUGCCCUUUUCUUAUAAUC